GUGGGGAAUAUUGGACAAUGGGCGCAAGCCUGAUCCAGCCAUGCCGCGUGAGUGAUGAAGGCCUUAGGGUUGUAAAGCUCUUUCAGUGGGGACGAUAAUGACGGUACCUACAGAAGAAGCCCCGGCUAACUUCGUGCCAGCAGCCGCGGUAAUACGAAGGGGGCUAGCGUUGUUCGGAUUUACUGGGCGUAAAGCGCACGUAGGCGGAUUGGUCAGUUAGAGGUGAAAUCCCGAAGCUCAACUUCGGAACUGCCUUUAAUACUGCCAGUCUCGAGUCCGGAAGAGGUGAGUGGAACUCCUAGUGUAGAGGUGGAAUUCGUAGAUAUUAGGAAGAACACCAGUGGCGAAGGCGGCUCACUGGUCCGGUACUGACGCUGAGGUGCGAAAGCGUGGGGAGCAAACAGGAUUAGAUACCCGAGUAGUCC
rnacentral:rRNA from 1 species